rnacentral:rRNA from 1 species
GAUGAACGCUGGCGGCGUGCCUAAUACAUGCAAGUAGAACGCUGAAGGAGGAGCUUGCUCUUCUGGAUGAGUUGCGAACGGGUGAGUAACGCGUAGGUAACCUGCCUGGUAGCGGGGGAUAACUAUUGGAAACGAUAGCUAAUACCGCAUGACAACAGUUAUUGCAUGAUAACUGUUUAAAAGGGGCAACUGCUCCACUACCAGAUGGACCUGCGUUGUAUUAGCUAGUUGGUGAGGUAACGGCUCACCAAGGCGACGAUACAUAGCCGACCUGAGAGGGUGAACGGCCACACUGGGACUUGGAAACGGCCCAGACUCCUACGGGAGGCAGCAGGAGGGAAUCUUCGGAAAUGGACGGAAGUCUGACCGAGCAACGCCGCGUGAGGGAAGAAGGGUUUCGGAUCGUAAAGCUCUGUUGUAAGAGAAGAACGAGUGUGAGAGUGGAAAGGUCACACUGUGACGGUAGCUGACCAGAAAGGGACGGCUAACUACGUG